rnacentral:tRNA from 1 species
GGCUCUGUAGCUCAGUUGGUAGAGCAGAGGCCUGAAGAGCCUUGUGUCGUUGGUUCAAGUCCGACCGGAGCCACCA